GCACUUGCGCUUGAGCUCAGACGUGAUUACCCGCUGAUCUUGCCAUAUCAUUUAGCGCAGGAAAAUAACAAACUAAGAUCCCUAAUUCGCCCCCGCGAGAAAUAAAAAA
rnacentral:rRNA from 1 species